rnacentral:rRNA from 1 species
GACAGAGGGUGCAAACGUUGUUCGGAAUUACUGGGCGUAAAGCGCGUGUAGGCGGCUAUGCAAGUCGGGUGUGAAAGCCCGGAGCUCAACUCCGGAAGUGCAUUCGAUACUGCGUAGCUAGAGUACUGGAGAGGAUGGUGGAACUCUCGGUGUAGAGGUGAAAUUCGCAGAUAUCGGGAAGAACACCUAUGGCGAAGGCAGCUCUCUGGGACGGUACUGACGCUGAGACGCGAAAGCGUGGGGAGCGAACAGG